GACUGCGUGGCCUAAUGGAUAAGACGUCUAACUUCGGAUCAGAAGAUUGCGAGUUCAAGUCUCGUCGGUGUCG
rnacentral:tRNA from 1 species